ACGCUCGCUUCAGCAGCACAUAUACUAAAAUUGGAACAAUACGGAGAAGAUUAAGAUUAACAUAGCCCCUGCACAAGGAUGACAUGCGAACUCGUGAAGCAUUCCAUAUUUUU
rnacentral:snRNA from 1 species